rnacentral:rRNA from 1 species
CGGACGGGGGAGUAACGUCUGGGGAAACUGCCUGAUGGAGGGGGAUAACUACUGAAACGGUAGCUAAUACCGCAUAACGUCGCAAGACCGAAAGAGGGGGACCUUAGGGCCUCUUGCCAUCGGAUGUGCCCAGAUGGGAUUAGCUAGUAGGUGGGGUAAAGGCUCACCUAGGCGACGAUCCCUAGCUGGUCUGAGAGGAUGACCAGCCACACUGGAACUGAGACACGGUCCAG